AAAUUGAAGAGUUUGAUCAUGGCUCAGAUUGAACGCUGGCGGCAGGCCUAACACAUGCAAGUCGAACGGUAACAGAAAGCAGCUUGCUGCUUUGCUGACGAGUGGCGGACGGGUGAGUAAUGUCUGGGAAACUGCCUGAUGGAGGGGGAUAACUACUGGAAACGGUAGCUAAUACCGCAUAACGUCGCAAGACCAAAGAGGGGGACCUUCGGGCCUCUUGCCAUCGGAUGUGCCCAGAUGGGAUUAGCUUGUUGGUGGGGUAACGGCUCACCAAGGCGACGAUCCCUAGCUGGUCUGAGAGGAUGACCAGCCACACUGGAACUGAGACACGGUCCAGACUCCUACGGGAGGCAGCAGUGGGGAAUAUUGCACAAUGGGCGCAAGCCUGAUGCAGCCAUGCCGCGUGUAUGAAGAAGGCCUUCGGGUUGUAAAGUACUUUCAGCGGGGAGGAAGGGA
rnacentral:rRNA from 1 species